GGUUAAGCGACUAAGCGUACACGGUGGAUGCCCUGGCAGUCAGAGGCGAUGAAGGGCGUGCUAAUCUGCGAUAAGCGCCGGUAAGGUGAUAUGAACCGUUAUAACCGGCGAUACCCGAAUGGGGAAACCCAGUGUGAYUCGUCACACUAUCAUUAACUGAAUCCAUAGGUUAAUGAGGCGAACCGGGGGAACUGAAACAUCUAAGUACCCCGAGGAAAAGAAAUCAACCGAGAUUCCCCCAGUAGCGGCGAGCGAACGGGGAGGAGCCCAGAGCCUGAAUCAGCAUGUGUGUUAGUGGAAGCGUCUGGAAAGGCGCGCGAUACAGGGUGACAGCCCCGUACACAAAAGCGCAUAUGCUGUGAGCUCGAUGAGUAGGGCGGGACACGUGGUAUCCUGUCUGAAUAUGGGGGGACCAUCCUCCAAGGCUAAAUACUCCUGACUGACCGAUAGUGAACCAGUACCGUGAGGGAAAGGCGAAAAGAACCCCGGCGAGGGGAGUGAAAAAGAACCUGAAACCGUGUACGUACAAGCAGUGGGAGCACCCUUUGGGGUGUGACUGCGUACCUUUUGUAUAAUGGGUCAGCGACUUAUAUUCUGUAGCAAGGUUAACCGAAUAGGGGAGCCGGAGGGAAACCGAGUCUUAAYYGGGCGUUAAGUUGCAGGGUAUAGACCCGAAACCCGGUGAUCUAGCCAUGGGCAGGUUGAAGGUUGGGUAACACUAACUGGAGGACCGAACCGACUAAUGUUGAAAAAUUAGCGGAUGACCUGUGGCUGGGGGUGAAAGGCCAAUCAAACCGGGAGAUAGCUGGUUCUCCCCGAAAGCUAUUUAGGUAGCGCCUCGUGAAUUCAUCUCCGGGGGUAGAGCACUGUUUCGGCUAGGGGGCCAUCCCGGCUUACCAACCCGAUGCAAACUGCGAAUACCGGAGAAUGUUAUCACGGGAGACACACGGCGGGUGCUAACGUCCGUCGUGAAGAGGGAAACAACCCAGACCGCCAGCUAAGGUCCCAAAGUCAUGGUUAAGUGGGAAACGAUGUGGGAAGGCCCAGACAGCCAGGAUGUUGGCUUAGAAGCAGCCAUCAUUUAAAGAAAGCGUAAUAGCUCACUGGUCGAGUCGGCCUGCGCGGAAGAUGUAACGGGGCUAAACCAUGCACCGAAGCUGCGGCAGCGA
rnacentral:rRNA from 1 species